GACGAACGCUGGCGGCGCGCCUAACACAUGCCAGUCGAACGAGCGAGAGAGAGCUUGCUUUCUCGAGCGAGUGGCGAAAGGGUGAGUAACGCGUGAGGAACCUGCCUCAAAGAGGGGGACAACAGUUGGAAACGACUGCUAAUACCGCAUAAGCCCACGACCCGGCAUCGGGUAGAGGGAAAAGGAGCAAUCCGCUUUGAGAUGGCCUCGCGUCCGAUUAGCUAGUUGGUGAGGUAACGGCCCACCAAGGCGACGAUCGGUAGCCGGACUGAGAGGUUGAACGGCCACAUUGGGACUGAGACACGGCCCAGACUCCUACGGGAGGCAGCAGUGGGGAAUAUUGCACAAUGGGGGAAACCCUGAUGCAGCGACGCCGCGUGGAGGAAGAAGGUCUUCGGAUUGUAAGCUCCUGUUGUUGAGGAAGAUAAUGACGGUACUCAACAAGGAAGUGGCGGCUAACUACGUG
rnacentral:rRNA from 1 species